AUCUGCCGUGGGCGUGGAUACUUGACGGAGCCUGCUCCUAGUACGAGAGGACCGGAGUGGACGUACCUCUGGUGUACCGGUUGUCAUGCCAAUGGCAUUGCCGGGUAGCUAAGUACGGAAGAGAUAACCGCUGAAGGCAUCUAAGCGGGAAACUCGUCUGAAGAUUAGGUAUCCCGGGGACUUGAUCCCCCUAAAGAGUCGUUCGAGA
rnacentral:rRNA from 1 species